rnacentral:rRNA from 1 species
UAGUCCAUGCUGUAAACGAUGUCUACUAGCUGUUGGAUCUGUAUAGAUUUAGUGGCGCAGUUAACGCACUAAGUAGACCGCCUGGGGAGUACGGCCGCAAGGUUAAAACUCAAAUGAAUUGACGGGGGCCCGCACAAGCGGUGGAGCAUGUGGUUUAAUUCGACGCAACGCGAAGAACCUUACCAGGCCUUGACAUCCCGGGAAGGAGCCAGAGAUGGCUCUGUGCCUUCGGGAACCCGGUGACAGGUGCUGCAUGGCUGUCGUCAGCUCGUGUCGUGAGAUGUUGGGUUAAGUCCCGUAACGAGCGCAACCCUUGUCCUUAGUUGCCAUUGAUUCGGUCGGGCACUUUAAGGAGACUGCCGGUGACAAACCGGAGGAAGGUGGGGAUGACGUCAAGUCCUCAUGGCCCUUACGGGCUGGGCUACACACGUGCUACAAUGGCGGCGACAGAGGGAUAAUCCCUAAAAAGCCGUCUCAGUUCGGAUUGUUCUCUGCAACUCGAGAGCA